AUUGAACGCUGGCGGCAGGCCUAACACAUGCAAGUCGAACGAGUGGCGGACGGGUGAGUAAUGUCUGUGAAACUGCCUGAUGGAGGGGGAUAACUACUGGAAACGUUAGCUAAUACCGCAUACCAUCAGAUGUGCCCAGAUGGGAUUAGCUGGUAGGUGGGGUAAAGGCUCACCUGGGCGACGAUCCCUAGCUGGUCUGAGAGGAUGACCGGCCACACUGGAACUGAGACACGGUCCAGACUCCUACGGGAGGCAGCAGUGGGGAAUAUUGCAAAAUGGGGGCAAGCCUGAUGCAGCAAUGCCGCGUGUAUGAAGAAGGCCUUCGGGUGGUAAAGUACUUUCAGCGGGGAGGCGUUACCCGAAGAAGAAGCACCGGCUAACUCCGUGCCAGCAGCCGCGGUAAUAC
rnacentral:rRNA from 1 species